rnacentral:rRNA from 1 species
UGGGGGAUAUUGCACAAUGGGGGAAACCCUGAUGCAGCGACGCCGCGUGAGUGAAGAAGUAUUUCGGUAUGUAAAGCUCUAUCAGCAGGGAAGAAGAUGACAGUACCUGAGUAAGAAGCCCCGGCUAACUACGUGCCAGCAGCCGCGGUAAUACGUAGGGGGCAAGCGUUAUCCGGAUUUACUGGGUGUAAAGGGAGCGCAGACGGCUUCAUAAGUCUGAAGUGAAAGCCCGGGGCCCAACCCCGGGACUGCUUUGGAAACUGUUAAGCUGGAGUGCAGGAGGGGCAGGCGGAAUUCCUGGUGUAGCGGUGAAAUGCGUAGAUAUCAGGAGGAACACCGGCGGCGAAGGCGGCCUGCUGGACUGCAACUGACGUUGAGGCUCGAAAGCGUGGGGAGCAAACAGG